AAACCACAGCCUUCUCUCUCCCGAGGCUUCAUCUCCUCCUUGUACCUGCCCGGAGAGGUCAACAGCCUUUGCCACUGUCUCCUGGAGGUGAAUUGAAGGACUUCCUCCGAAGCUGUGGUUGUACACAGAUUUCCUGUCCUGGUAGUUCCCUUCCGGGGAUGCCUCUUCCUGGAGAAGUUUCUGGACCCAACCUCCUGCUGCUUCCUAGAGAAUACAGAAAUCUGGUCUCCUGGCUGGUCACCUCCUGAGGCAUGCUGGGAAAUGGAGAAAACUAAGAUACUCCAGCACCCUCCCCCACACAGGACCAGGGACAAGGACAAAUAGGCUCUGGGGAAACAAGUCUCUUGUGUGGACGCAGACACGCACUUUCAUGCUGAGGUCGUUCGUAGGAACUCGCCAAGAGCUUGGAACAACAGAGAAGAGGGGUAAAGGCCACAAGAAAGAGGCAGGUCAAAUGAAGGAAUGAAACCAAUACGGCGACAACACAGCUCCUUUGUCCCUUUGCCAUAGAAGCAAAAGUCAGGGGGCCUCAGUGAAGACGGAUGGCAUUUGUCAAGCUCUGUGAAAUCCCUGUGUUGUCUGUCACACACCAUACCUGUGCCAUUUGUAAUGAUACAAGAUUGGCAUGCAACUGUUAUUUAACUGUUAACUCUUCAACAACAAACCUGCUGGAGGUUAGGGGAUUACCAGAAACUCAGAGGAUACAGAAACUGCAGGGUUAUAUGGGGCGCCUACAGUUAUAGGACCACUGUGGCAGAGCUGCGUACGUGACUCGGGUCCAUGCCUUUGUGUGAGGACACCUGUCUCUCCCUUGUGAAGCCCUGCUCCAUGCUUCCGUAUCUCUUAUUACCAGCCUGGAGAGAGGUCCUCGCAUACCUGCUCUGGGACAGAUGUCUGCCAUAGUCCCCUCCUGCCUUCUAGAACUCACAAGUGCAGACCUUGGUGAACGGAACUCUCUGGAAGGACCCCUCUAGCACCCCUUCCUGGCAUUGUUCUGUUGUGUGACCAGAAACAAGCAGUUGAGGAUACAAACCGGUUAAACAGAGGCCACACCAGACUACCUCCUGAAAAACAGGAGAGAAAGGUCUUCAGUCCUGAGAACUGCUUCCAGACUCAUUUUCUUUUCUGAACAUCUCUCCCAGAAACCAAGGGAUUGGUUCUUGUUUUACAAGUUAGUUUGGGCCAGGUGUUGGUGGUGCACGCCUGUAAUUCUAGCACUUGGGAGGCAGAGGCAGGUGGAUCUCUGUGAGUUCGAGGCCAGCCUGGUCUACAGAGCCAGUUCCAGGAUAGCUUCCA